rnacentral:rRNA from 1 species
UACGUAGGGGGCAAGCGUUGUCCGGAUUUAUUGGGCGUAAAGAGCGUGUAGGCGGCCAGGUAGGUCCGUUGUGAAAACCCGAGGCUCAACCUCGAGACGUCGGCGGAAACCCUCUGGCUAGAGUCCGGAAGAGGAGAGUGGAAUUCCUGGUGUAGCGGUGAAAUGCGCAGAUAUCAGGAAGAACACCCGUGGCGAAGGCGGCUCUCUGGGACGGUACUGACGCUGAGACGCGAAAGCGUGGGGAGCAAACAGG